rnacentral:miRNA from 1 species
UAAGAGUAUAAUAUGACUUUG